rnacentral:rRNA from 1 species
UGGGGAAUAUUGCACAAUGGGCGCAAGCCUGAUGCAGCCAUGCCGCGUGUAUGAAGAAGGCCUUCGGGUUGUAAAGUACUUUCAGUCGGGAGGAAGGUGUCAAGGUUAAUAACCUUGGCAAUUGACGUUACCGACAGAAGAAGCACCGGCUAACUCCGUGCCAGCAGCCGCGGUAAUACGGAGGGUGCAAGCGUUAAUCGGAAUUACUGGGCGUAAAGCGCACGCAGGCGGUUGAUUGAGUCAGAUGUGAAAUCCCCGGGCUUAACCCGGGAAUUGCAUCUGAUACUGGUCAGCUAGAGUCUUGUAGAGGGGGGUAGAAUUCCAUGUGUAGCGGUGAAAUGCGUAGAGAUGUGGAGGACUACCGGUGGCGAAGGCGGCCCCCUGGACAAAGACUGACGCUCAGGUGCGAAAGCGUGGGGAGCAAACAGG